AAAAAAAAAAAAAAAAAUCAACAGCUCUGGCUCCAUAGCAUCUCAGCAUAUGCCUUCUCCUCUUCCUUCUCCUCUACAACAUAAUGAGUUGCCUCAACAACUUCCUCUUCUUCAUCAAGAAUCUCUGCUGUCAUUUCUUCUAAAUUUGCUGAUUCUACAAUUUUUUCCCCCGGUGGUUCCACAUUUUCAUUUAAUGCCUCUCUCAUUGCCCGCAUUGUUGCUGGCCUAUCUGUUGGCCCAUAUUUUGGAGCUGGCACAUUGAAAGGUAAAAUAAUAUCAUCCAACUUAGCAUGAUCUUUGUUAACCACACCCUUUUUCCAUGACGGAGGAAAAACAAAAAUGAUCCCUAGCUCAUAGUUACAGACAUGAAGCCUCAAACCCAAAGAAGAGUUUGUUUUCCUAGCUUCAUUCAACUUUAGACCAGGUGGAUUGGAUAUAGGUCUUCCCCAGGCAGCAGCACUUAAAUUAUGUGACCCACAAUAGACCCAACCAAAAGAAGAUGCAUCUGUCUUAGACUGGAAGCGUCUCCUUGCCACCUUGGCAUGAAUUGGGUGCCGCACUCUAUGAUGAGGAUGAGGAACUGCAUCAUGAAGUAUGUCUAAUGUUCUCAACCUUUGCCAUGUUUUCUCUGAGAAGCAAAGAAUGCGCCUUGAGGGCAAGAUUCCAUUGCAUGCAUUUUUCACUCUCUCAAUUGUAGGGAAAAUGAUUCUAAUGGAUGGAUUUUUUGAUUCUUGACUACCAGUCCAGCAGCCCCACUCUGGAUCAGAUUCUUCUGAAUCGAAGAAUUGCACUGAUUUCUUUCCAGUGGCUGCAGAAAAAGCAGCCAAAAAUUGUGUAUUGACCGAUGAGCCAAUUGAGGAUGAGCCAUAAAUAAAAUCGGAUUGUUCCAGUUCAGGCCAUUUGUACUGAUCUAGAACCUCUUGUAGUCGCCAAAGGCCUGUGCAUCUCUGAAUUGAAGCAAUGAGAGAGCUAACUGCAAUAACAUGUUCAGGUAGCAUCACUCUCAUCAUAUCCGGAAAGCGAGGCCCCUGUGACACCUGUAGUAUCAGUUGCACUCUCGUGUUGCUCCCUCCUAAAGCAGCUGCAAGGGCUUCUUUAGGAUGAACAUAUCCAGAGAAUCUGAAGAAUCCACUGUCCCACAAUGGAGAAACCCACUUCGCAACAUAUCUAGGCAGAAAACCAAGUUGCACACAAUCUCCUUCAGAAUAUUGAUCAGGAUUAGGAACAAGAAUGCUCACAGCAUUCACAUCUGCAGGCAUAUUGUUGUUUCUUCUCAAAACAAUCUCUAUCCCAUAAGCAUUUUCGCAAGAUCUCCCAAGGAAAGCAGCAAGUCUCUUAAGCAAUGCACCAUUUGUGUCAGUUGCAGUGCGAAAAAGGUGGCUUAAACCAACAGCAGAUUCUUCAACCAAGCCCAGGAACUUUUCAUCAAUUGACUCCAAAGCAUACUGAAAAGCAUAAGAAGUUCUACAAGAAUGAAUUCCAGGUACUGAAGCAACUAGAUACCCCAUGGCCCCUUCAAAGUUGUAUUUUGUCAACUCAACAAUCCAAUGGGCCUGACUAGGAACAUCAAUCAAAAGAGAUGCCAUGAAUCCAGCAAGCUGAGCAGCAAAAUCAGAUCUUGAAUCUUGAUUUAUUUCUCCAUUAGAAAGUCGAAAGAAAAGAGUUGAGAGAUCAGGUGUACUUCUGACAGGGAAAUCUUGCCACCAAACAGUAUUGGUCACGUUAUUCCACUGAUUCAACACUAAAUUUGCAGAAGUGAUGAUAACACGAAUACUAUCUUCUCUUUGCAAAACAAGCAACUUUGGAUGAUGACAACCAAUGCCUUGUCUCUUGCGGUCGUUACCAAAUGCUAUGGCCUCAGGAAAUGGGGGAAACACUACAACUAAGUUUGGAAAACUGGGGUAUGGCAUGGAAAUUCGUUCACCAGGCCUGGCACUCCAACAUCUCUCACUGUUGUGACAAGCAAUUGUUACAGGCAGAUGGCAUGGAAUCUCACAGUAUGAUAAAAACCAUAAAAUAUCACUUGUAAAUGUUGCAAUAAAUAUCCUAUUAAUGUUUUUGAUGGGAUGAAGAAGUUCUGGUAAGGAGAUAACAUUUUGAUGGCUGGAUGAACCAGAGUCCAUAAAAUGAAGGCGAUUCAAGUAAAACUUCUUUCCAGGUGGCAGACAAUUCAUCUGAACAUCACCAAGAUCAGGAGAAUUCUCCUUACCCACAGAAUUCAAUGGCAAGUACUUACAAUUAUUAUCAACAUCACCCUCAGAAUGGACUUGAGAAAUGCCAUUUUGACACAAAUUAUCACUUCCAGAAGAAACGUGCAUUGUGUCACCUUUAUCCUUGUAACUUUGUGUACCCUGACAGGGUUGUGCUUCUUCUUGCCUAAAAAGAAGUGCAGCACUAUUUACCAUUAGUUCAUCUCCCACAGAAAAUUUUCUCUUAUCACCUGGGACCAAACCUGAAUGGUAGUUCAAUUUGCUUUUACAAUCAUUUGUGAUCUCCAUUCUGGAAUCUGAAAAAGCAAAUUGUUGAAUGUGAGAUAUGGGAUCAUCGCUUUGCAGUAUUUGUCUACAUUGACUUGACAAAAACUUUGCCCUCCCAACAAUGCCUCCAGAUUUCAGUCCAGAUAAAUCAUAUCCUUGGGGCAUAAUUUCAUUUGCAUGGACAGCAAAAACCCUUUUGUUCCUGUUCCCGUUCCCACUAGACACUGAUCCUUGCGAGUGUUGCAUUGAUGUUGUUCUCCCAAACAACCCAAGUCUCUCCACCUGAAUCUCAUUUGACCCCAUGAAAACCUCCUCCUUGAAAAAAACACCCUGAAUCACAAACCCAAUUUGAACUCCUAAACUACAUAAACCCUCGUUGCCACAAGCAAGCAGAAUCUCAUCUCCAGUACACAACUCUCUAACCGUGCCUCUGUUAACCUUAAUCCCAUUGACAAAUACUCCAUUCAAAGAAACCCUAAUCCUAGAACACUCUACGCUCUCUUUCUCCUCACCUUCCAAUUGAUCAUAACAAAUUAACCUCCUCCUAAAUUCAGUAACGACACUACUAGUUCUAGUAACAUGCAAUAAAACUGCUCCAUCCAGAAUAUAUAUCUUGCGAUGAACGCUAUCAAAUAAAAUCUGGCAAUGUUGCUUACUGACACGGCGAUCGUUGAAGAAAAAGUCGCAGUCGCUGUGAGUUCCACUUCGGCCAAUGGUGUAGGGUCGGCCGGGUUCCAGGAGGAUUGCAUGGAGAGGCUUGCCGGUCGGUGAAAUCAAAGGGACGUUGAAAAAUUGGAGAUGAAUUAGUGCCGAUUUGGUUAUGAGUUUAGGUUUUUUCCUGCUGCGAAGUGAAGUUGAGAUGGGUAAUAAGGGAUCAUCCUCCUUCUUCUGAGGUCCUCCAGUUCUCUUGUUAUUGCUGUUAGUAGAAGGAAAUAUUGAAUCUUUCAUAUCAAACAGGAAGAAUAAAAGAAUCAAAUAAAAUGGUGGAGCUUCGGUGAAGGACAAAAAUUGGAGGGAAAUUUCCUUCCCG
rnacentral:misc_RNA from 1 species